rnacentral:rRNA from 1 species
AUUGAACGCUGGCGGCAGGCCUAACACAUGCAAGUCGAGCGGAUGAAGGGAGCUUGCUCCUGGAUUCAGCGGCGGACGGGUGGGUAAUGCCUAGGAAUCUGCCUGGUAGUGGGGGAUAACGUCCGGAAACGGGCGCUAAUACCGCAUACGUCCUGAGGGAGAAAGUGGGGGAUCUUCGGACCUCACGCUAUCAGAUGAGCCUAGGUCGGAUUAGCUAGUUGGUGGGGUAAAGGCCUACCAAGGCGACGAUCCGUAACUGGUCUGAGAGGAUGAUCAGUCACACUGGAACUGAGACACGGUCCAGACUCCUACGGGAGGCAGCAGUGGGGUAUAUUGGACAAUGGGCGAAAGCCUGAUCCAGCCAUGCCGCGUGUGUGAAGAAGGUCUUCGGAUUGUAAGCACUUUAAGUUGGGAGGAAGGGCAGUAAGUUAAUACCUUGCUGUUUUGACGUUACCAACAGAAUAAGCACCGGCUAACUUCGUG